UACGGAGGGUGCAAGCGUUGUCCGGAAUUAUUGGGCGUAAAGAGCUCGUAGGCGGUCUGUCGCGUCGGCUGUGAAAUCCCGAGGCUCAACCUCGGGUCUGCAGUCGAUACGGGCAAACUAGAGUAUUGCAGGGGAGACUGGAAUUCCUGGUGUAGCGGUGAAAUGCGCAGAUAUCAGGAGGAACACCGGUGGCGAAGGCGGCUUUCUGGACAGAAACUGACGCUGAGGCGCGAAAGCUAGGGGAGCAAACAGG
rnacentral:rRNA from 1 species